AACGCACCUUGCGCUCCUUGGUAUUCCGAGGAGCAUACCUGUUUGAGUGUCAUGAAAAUUUCAACCUUCUUUGUUAUAUAACAAGAUGGAUUGGACUUUUGGAAGCUGCUGGAUUGACACAUUUCAGCUCUUCUCAAAUACAUUAGCAGGAUUGCCUCUUGACAAUUCAUUGGUAUGAUAAUUAUCUAUACCUAUCAGAAUGUCUGGACUCAUGGCAUCAUGCUUCUAACUGUCUGCAAAGACAUCUAUUUGAACAAUUUUGACCUCAAAUCAGGUAGGACUACCCGCUGAACUUAA
rnacentral:misc_RNA from 1 species